rnacentral:lncRNA from 1 species
UUUUUUUUUUUUUUUUUUUUUCUCCUUUUUUUUUGCCAUUUCUUGGGCCACGCCUGCGGCAUAUGGAGGUUCCCAGGCUAGGGGUGGAAUCGGAGCUGUAGCCUCUGGCCUACGCCAGAGCCACAGCAACACGGGAUCCGAGCCGCGUCUGCAACCUACACUACAGCUCAAGGCAACACCAGAUCCUUAACCCACUGAGCAAGGCCAGGGAUCAAACCUGCAACCUCAUGGUUUCUAGUCGGAUUUGUUAACCACUGAGCCACGACGGGAAUUCCUUAAAGUCUGGUUUUAUUAAGAAAGUCUUUAUCCCCCUUUCUUACUCAAAUAUCCUCUUCAGAAUUCUUUCCUGAGGACCUCAAGCUGUAAUGAGGAGACGGAAUUGCUAUCAUAAAUUAUAUAGUUAACAUAAUACUUACAUAUUAUUAUUUUGUUUUAAUCAUAUGAUAUGAUGGGGACGGGCUAUCAAAAGUAUCAAACUAUCCCUGAGUCCAGAGUUGGAAGGGAAAAUUAAAAUGUAUCUAGUUCAAAUUCUCAUCCAAUGGAUUAAUCCUAGCUGCAAAUUUGUGAAAACAAUGAACUUGAAAAAAUAUGAAGGGGUCAAAAAAUACUCAAGUUUUUUUCCUGUUGACCAAGACAACAGACGUCCUAGCAUUUUACACUUCUGUCUUCGAUCCCUAGAAACCUCCAGCACUUCAUUAUCAUCAGGAGGAGAAAAAAGAUAGUCAGAGGACUGUAAAAACCAAACAUUUUCUACUUAAAAUUCCUUCACAAUUCUUUCUCACCACUGUCAUUACCCAUCUUUCCCCAGUAGCAUCUCUUUUGGGUUUGGCUACACCUAGAGCAUGCGCAAGUUCUUGGGCCAGGGAUCCAACCCAGGCCAUAGCAGUGACAACACCAGAUCCUUAACCCACUUAGCCACAAGGGAACUCCCUAGCAUCGCUGAAAAACAAGUCAGAGACAAAAGUUAAGUUUUUAUUUCUGUUUUUGUUUGUUUGUUCGUUUUGGGUUUUUGUUUUUGUUUUUUUUUUUUUUUUUUUUUUUUGGCUUUUGUCUUUUUAGGGCAACCCCCACAGCAUAUGGAGAUUCCCAGGCUAGGGAUCCAAUUGGAGCUGUAGCUGCUGGCCUACAGCCACAGCCACAUCGGAUCCGAGCCACAUCUACAACCUACACCACAGCUCACAGCAACACCAGAUCCUUAACUCACUGAGGAUCCAGCAUUGCCAUGAGCUGCAGUAUAGGUCCCAGACCCAACUGGGAUCUGGCAUUGUUGUGGCUGUGGCGUAGGCUGGUGGCUACAGCCCCAAUCCAACCCCUAGCUUGAGAACUUCCAUAUGCCAUGGGUACAGCCCUCAAAAGACCAAAAAAAAAAAAAAAAAAAAUAGAGAAACCUGGUUAAAAAAAUUCUCAUAAAUCUAUACAAUGGACUAUGCAGCCAUUAAAUAGAAUCAAAGUAGAUCUAUACAAAUUGUUAUAAAAAGUUACUCAAAAUACAUUAAGGGAAAAAACCGAAAUACUUUACACAGUAUGAUUCCAUUUGUAUAAACUGUAUAUACAUAAGACAACUCUGGCAAGGAAUAACUGGUCAGCAGAAUUUGAUCCUGUCCAAAACGUCCAUAAGACAUUUAGGGCAUGCCAAAAAGUCCUUGACAUUCAGUCCUGUUCAAAACCAUUUGGCAUGGACCAAAUGUGGACAGGACCAAAUUUCGAGGCCCUUCUGGCAUGGACCAAAUGUCUUAGGAAGGUUUUAGACAGGAUCAAAUAUCCUGCAAGGGCAAUAGUUAACAAUAGCAUGUUUAUUGACAUUUGUAAUAACCAUCUCCAGUUUGUGUCCUACAAACAGAGCAAUUGUGAUAAGGUCAUCACAAAGUAAAAACAAAUGGAGAUUUGUAACUGCACACACUGUACUGUUGUCUAUAAUCUUAACAGGAGAAAAUGUCUGACUAGGAAUGAAUGAGAACAGAAUCCUCUGUCAACAUUAGAUACCUCCUAAGCGCCACAUCAAAAUCCUCUAAGCAACCCCGCUUACUCCUUCCCCUGCCUCAGUCAAGUUCCAAACAGGCUUGGUCUGGCUUUAAGCCCAUGUGAUCAGCCCAAGCAGACAUCACCUCAUGCAUAGCUCACCACCGCUCACGGUGCCUCUCACUUCUGCUGCGGGACUUCUGAACCACACUCUGCAGCUACGCACAUAUAAUUCAGAAGCCAGGAGGAAUCAACACCCGUGGGAGAACACUUCCCCUUCUGCACUUGAGCACAGUUCUGAGAGCAUCUCGUAAGGCUCCUUACAGAGUCCUAGGUAGGGAGUUCCCUGGUGGCUCAGUGGGUUAAGGAUCUGGAAUUGUCACUGCUGUGGCAUGGGUUUGAUCGCUGGCCUGGGAAUUUCUGCAUGCCAAGGGCACGGCCAAAUAAAGUCCUAGGUAGGACAGAACACCUGUUGCCUGUAGCUAAAGCCAACACAUUGUCACAGCCUUGAAUUUUCUCUCCUUCCCUCCCAUGUCAGUUCCCUUGUCCUGAACUCCCCCUGGGAUCCCAUUCCAAUUAAACUUGCCAGCAUGCUAGCCCUUGUAUCAGGCUGAUGGUCAGGCUAAGGCAUCACCAGAAGUCUUUCUAACUACCAGGUUCUGGCUUCAUACAUUUCAUCCUCUUCUAUUUCCGUGAUCCCGGGGCCAGAUGUAUUAGGACACACUCAAAUUGAGACAAUGCACCUUUACGUCACAAUACCAGGAGAGCUGGCACAGAGGGUAGGAGUAUUUCUCAAGGUCAUUCCUACCCCGAGACAGCUCACAAUGUCCAUAUAUCAAAGUGACUGCAAACCCAAACUAAAUGCAUCCCCAGCUCAACUUCCCCACAGCUGGAUCCCAAAACCACCUGGGACCACACCAAAGACACCAGAGACAGAAAGAGUGAGAGAGGAUAAUUCAAAGUGGCAAAAGACCAGUUUUGACAAUUGGGGUUAAAAUAUCCGGAUUUUUUAAAUUUUACAAAAACACAUGACCAUGUAAACACAUUUGUGAGGGCUUCUCCCAGGGGCCAUGCAUAUGAGAGGCACUUAAGCUUAAAGUUAACUGGCUUUACAGUAAAUCUGCUUUUC